ensembl:lncRNA
AAAAAACUUGUUGGGGAGUUCCUGUUGUGGCUCUGGUAAUGAACCCCACUAAUAUCCAUGAGAAUGCAGGUUUGAUCCCUGGCCUCACUCGCUGGGUGAGUUAAGGAUUGGGUGUUGCCAUGAGCCCAAUCUGUAGUGUAGGUGGUGCAGCAGGGUUUGGGGAUCUGGUGUUGUCACUGCUGUGACUCAGGUUGCUGCUGAGGGCCUGGCCCUGGAAUUUCCACAUACUGUGGAUGCUGCCAGGAAAAAAGAAUCUUUUUAAUUCUUUGGUUGUAUGUGUUCAGCCAAUUAAAAAUCCAGCUAAUUUGUCAUUAUCUACCUCAGAUAUUUCCAGGUUUUCACAAGGGAUAUAUAAGGAACUGUAAUGAUUGCCUUCUUUUAGGAGGUUUUAACCCAGAUAAUUUUAUAUACUUCAUUUAAAAAGAUCCUGUCUGUUCAGUAAAUGUCAGGAGAAGAGCAUUAAUCUGUCAUUAUGUGUCCUUAAUGAAACUGUACUCGUUUCCAACAGCAGUAUGUUGGUUACUACCUUUUCUGUGUUCAUAAACUUCUCUCAGUAAUGACUCUAAAAUCUUGUUCAGAAUUACAUUUAACUUCACUGAUCAGGAUCCCCUUUCUCCAGCAGCUGCAUGAACAUUUAUCUGGAGUUACAUACCUUGUUAAAGAUUUCCUUAGAGCAGUUAGGAACUCUCUUUAAUCUUCUCAUCCAUAUUAGCUUUGGUUUCCAUUAAUUCAUGUUUAAAUUUAUUAAAUGCCUAUUUUGCACACGAUAACAAUGCUUGUUUAACCCCAUCUGAUCUGAAAAGAAUUUUUUGGAAGAGAUACUUGAAGGAAGAAGGUAAUCCUUGUCCAUUUUUCUCCAUUCUUGUGUAGUCUGGACCUUCAUUCCUUCUUUACUCUGCAAAAACAACUUCCUGUUAACCUUUCUUCUUCCGGAUCUUUUUCUGUCUCCAGUCCUUUAGCACUGUAGCUAGAGUCAUCUUUGUUUUUAAAGUGCGUAUACCUCGGAGUUCCUGUUGUGGCUCAUCGGAAAUGAAUCUGACUAGUAUUCAUGAGGACGCAGGUUUGAUCCCUGGUCUUACUCAGUGGGUUAAGGCUCUGGCGAUGCUGUGAGCUGUGGCGUGGGUUGCAGACAUGGCUUGGAUCUGGCAUUGCCGUGGCUGUGGCAUAGGCCAGUGGCUACAGCUCUGAUUCGACCCCUUAGCCUGGGAACUUCCAUAUGACAUGGGUGUGGCCCUAAAAAAAGGAUAAAAAUAAAUAAAUAAAGUACAUAUAUCUCUAAAGUCUUUACUUCCCUGAUAGAAAAAUCUAAGAUGAUCUAAUUAGAUUUUUAGUUUCAAGUACUUUUCAACUCUCUUAUUCUGUUUUCUAUUUACUAUCCUUCUAGAUUCAAGACCCUUUCCCCUUUUUCACCUUCUUUAUUCUUAGAGAUGAUAUGAACCAUCAGCCAGGCAGUAGGCAUGGAGAGAUAGUGGUUCCCCACAAGCUGGUCCAUGUGUGUCCCUCGGGUUGUCAGCUGUUACAGGCACUGUGUGAGGCACUGAAUUGACAAAGGAGCAUGACAUAGCCUCAGGCUUUGAAGAAUUCUAAGUGCAGGGAAAGAUAGACCAGAGGAAACUGUUUGGAGAAAACUUUUUUUUUAAUACUCAAAAGCAUAAUAGGUUUAUGUAACGGAUUCCAUUUUACUUUGAAAAGAGCCAAGUAUGUUGUUAUGAAAGAAUGAGUUUGUUAAAGUGACCAAUUCCAUUCUGUUUAAGUUAAAUCAAAUUGUAAAAUCAUAAACCCAUGAAUGUAGAAGAACAGUCUAUAUUUCAAAACUGCCAAAAUAAACUAUUUAAUCAAAACUGGAAGUACUAACGUGUUUUUUACAUGCCACUUGAGAGUGAACAAUUGCAAAAUCAGCCUACCAAGUUUUUCUUCACAGCAUCCUUGAAAUUGUGGUGAUGAGAUAAAACUACCUGUGAAAGAGAAGCUUUAUGCUAUUCAGAGGAGUAGGGGGAGAGGGAGAGAAGGAAAGGGGAUGAGGCAGGAGAGGAGAGGAUGAUCAACAGUCGCUAUUAGAACUAGGAUGAAAUAUACAAUGUGACAGGUAGAAUUAAACACCUCUGUAUGUUAUACAAGAAAGCUGUUAAGAGAGUGAAACCUAAGAGCUCUCAUGGCAAGAAGAACAAUUUUUUCUCUUUAAUUUUGUAUCUAUAUGAGAUGAUGGAUGUUCACUAGGCUUAUAAUGAUAUUCCCUUCCUGAGGUAUGUAGAUAAAUCAUUAUGUUGACCACCUUAAACUUAUAUAGUGCUCUUUGACAACUAGGCCUCAAUAAAACCGGAAGAAAGGAAAGAACAUAUACAGCUAUGGGAGUUCCUGUCCUGGCUCAGCAGUAACAAAACCGACUAGGAUCCCUGAGGACAUGGGUUCAAUCCCUGGCCUCACUCAGUGGGUUAAGGAUUUGGCAUUGCUGUGAGCUGUGGUGUAGGUUGCAGACAAGGCUUAGAUCCCAAGUUGCUGUGGCUGUGGCAAGGCAAGCUGCUGCAGCUCUGAUUUGACCCCUAGCCUGAAUGUGGCCCUAAAAAUACAAAAAAAAAAAAAAAAAA